AGAGUUUGAUCCUGGCUCAGGAUGAACGCUGGCGGUGCGCCUAACACAUGCAAGUCGAACGAAGGAUUGUGAAGGAACUUUACGGAGGGAAAACACAAUGACUGAGUGGCGGACGGGUGAGUAACGCGUAGGGAACCUGGCCCUUACAGGGGGAUAACAGAUGGAAACAACUGCUAAUACCGCAUAAGCGCCCAGCCUCGCAUGAGGCAGAGUGAAAAACUAAGGUGGUAAGGGAUGGCCCUGCGUCCGAUUAGCUAGUUGGUAUGGUAACGGCAUACCAAGGCGACGAUCGGUAGCCGGCCUGAGAGGGUGGACGGCCACAUUGGGACUGAGACACGGCACAAACUCCUACGGGAGGCGGCAGUGGGGGAUAUUGCACAAUGGGGGAAACCCUGAUGCAGCGACACCGCGUGGGUGAAGAAGCGCUUCGGCGUGUAAAGCCCUAUCAGCAGGGAAGAAAAUGACGGUACCUGACUAAGAAGCCCCGGCUAACUACGUGCCAGCAGCCGCG
rnacentral:rRNA from 1 species